rnacentral:rRNA from 1 species
GCUAAGGUAGCAUAAUCAUUUGUUUUUUAAUUGGGGACUGGCAUGAAUGGUUAAACUUGGUUUUUUGUUUGUCAGGUUUGAUAGUAAAUUAAAGUCAUGGUAAUAAUUCUUUGAUUAAUUUGGGGGACGAUAAGACCCUAAAAGCUUUAUAAGUAUAUUUUAUAGUGUUAGAUAGAUAUUUAUUUUACUGGGGCGGUACAAGUUAAUUUGCUAUAGGAGCUAUAUGUGAUCCCUUAUAUUAGGAUAUGCUGGUUAAGUUACUUUAGGGAUAA